CUAUUUCCCAGAGUUCCUGCUGUAGUGCAGUGGGUUAAGAACCUGACUGCAGAGGCUUGUGUCACUAUGGAGCCACAGGUUUGAUCCCUGGCCCAGCCCAGUGGGUUAAAGGAUCCAGUGUUAACACAGCUGUGGCAUAGGUCACAGCUGUGGCUCAGAUUCAAUCCCUGGCCCAGAAACUUCCAUAUGCCAUGGGUGCAGCCAUAAAAUUUUAAAGAAGAAACAAAAAAUAUAUUGCCCUAUUCCAUCUUGCUCCUAAAUCUUGUCAGCCCACCUAGUUUCCAAUGCUCAUUCUCAACACAAAAUCAUGAUCCAAGCAAACAAAAGCCUAGCACAUUUUUUCAAUUGUUUUGGUUAUGAAAAUAAUAUAAAUUCACUGUGUAAAAAUUGGAAGGACAGAAUGACAAAAAGAAGAAAAUAGAACCCAUCCAUAAUUCCACAUUCCAGAGAUAGCCACUGCUGUGCCUUGGUUAUAUCCUUCAAGGUAGUUUUCCAUGAAUAUAUUGUUUAAAAGAAGUCAUAAUCUUCAAAGUAUAUUUUUCCCCAUUUUCUUCGUUUAACAACAUGCUACAUGCACUUUCUGGGAAAAUUUUUUUUCAUAGAAACUCACCUUGAUUUAUUUAAAAUCAGAAGGUUACUUCUAUGGAAGAACCCUAAUACUGUUUCUUACUCUCUACUGUUAUGAACUUGCCCAUAGUUCAAACUUUGUCACUUCUUUUUUGUGUGCAAUUCUUUAAUUACUUUCUUAUAGUAAAUUCCUAGAUGUAGCACUGUUGGACCAAAUGAAAAUGCCCACCUUAGGCCCUUGAUAUACACUACUAUGUCUUUAAAAUUCUUACCACCGUUAUUUCAUCUCUCCAAUCCCAGGUUAUAGACAUAUGUACCUGAGAGAGCCUUAUGUGGCCUUUCAAGCACAGAAGUCUUUGGAAAUACAAUGAUGGUUUAGGAAGUGUGGGUGGUUCGGUUGACCGAUGGCCCACAAACCAUCACAGAAGAAGUUUCAAAGGUGACAUUUAGGGCGAGCUUAAAUUAAAGACACAUCAAAAAUUGAAAAUGUACAUAACCUACAACCUGGAAAUUCCCUUCCUAAAUGUGGAUUAUUAAGCUAAAUUUUAAAUACCACAGAAUUCUUGCUUAUAAUAAUAUAACACUGGAAAAAUGAAUUGGGAACAACCUAAAUAUCUAUUGAUAAGAGAAUGGAUAAAUUAAUUAUAGUAUAUUCAUGCUAUAGAAUAUGAUAGAGGAGAUAAAUAUCUCCACAUGAAUCAAUAUGGAUUGAUUUAAAAAUAUAAUUUAAAAAAGAGAAGGCAGGUGUAUGCAAAACAAUAACAGAGAAAGAUAAUACUUAUUAAGAAAAAAUAUAUAAUUAUGGCCUGAAAGACACACAUUAAACUUAUGAUAAGCUUUGAUUCUGCAGAGUGAAGGAAGAAUGAGACCCCAGCAGAGCUGAGGGUGAGGAGUAGGGAAGGAAAAGAGUCUUUCAAUUUUAUCUGUAAUGUUAUACUAUUAGUAAAAAUUAUGCUGUUUAUAAAGUCUAAGCUGACAUCAAUUAUAAAACUCACUAUUAUUUUAUGUAUCACUCAGGAAAAAACGAGGCCACAAUAUACCAUGAAUUUUCAAAUGCACCCGGGAGUUCCCUGGUGGUUCAGCAAGUUAAGGAUCUAGCGUUGUUAUUGUUGUGGCAUGGGUUCGAUCCCUGGCCCAGGAACCUCCAUAUACUGUGGGUGCAACCGCCCAAAAAUGCCCCCAAUUUUAGAGAUGUUAAGACAUAGGGGAAAUAGUGUGUAAAAUUUUAUAUAAGGCAAAAAUGCAGAAGAUUAAGAUCUGGUCAUUCUUAAGGUUAUUGGGAUAUAUGGUUAUUGGUUUUGUAAACCUGUGUACUUCUAAAAAACACAUCAAACAUUAUAAGGAAUGGAAUUCCUCUGUAAAAUUAAUAUCUUAAAUGUAUACUGCUCAUGUAACAAGUAUAGUGCCCUAAAGCUUAGCUGCCUUAUUAGGCAUGUUCCCUAAAUGAAUUAAAAUAUGGUGAAGGUAAGAGACAGAUCCUUCAAGAGGCAUCUGGUGUAGGACAUAUACUUAACAUUUGCUCGAGAAUUGUUUCCUGAACUGAAGUUCUCCCAGUUUAAAAGAACAACCUCAAAAAAACAAAUCCUCUGUCCGUUCAAGAACCCAUGUGCUAGAAAUUUGAUGCUGCAAAAUUAGGAAUCCUGUUUUACAGGUCAUCACAUCAGUAGAGAAAGCUAUGAGUAUUGGUUAUAACGUUAUUCCCUGGGCGAAGCAAAUUUCAAACAACCCUACUCAUCUUACCACGAGCCAGCAAACUGUUACCGUCCUAGCUUCUCAGUCAAUAGGACUUCAUCUAUUCUCUAGGUCACAGCAUGGGAACCAACGUGCCUAUAAUCCUUUAUUUCUCCCUGUGGCUUAAAGAAAGGCUUUCUCUGGAAAGUGUUCAGAAGAGGAGAGGAAAAAAGACCUAGAGUUAGCAUUACCAGGUGAAAUACAGACCCAGUUAAAUUUGAAUUUCAGAGAAAAAAAUGAAAAAAUUUUAGUAUGAGUCUGUCUCACUGAAUUUCAGAAAAAUCACAAGGAACUUUGUAAUGCACAAGUGCAAAUAUAACAUCAGACAGAUUUGUACUAAAAACAUUUCAUUGUUUCUCUGAAAUUCAAAUUUAACUGUUCUGUAUUUUCUAAAUAUGGAAAACCUAUUAGAACUAUUCUGACCAAAAGAAAAGGAGAAAACUAGAACUGGAAUUUAAGUGGGGGAUCAAAAAGGAGAAUUGAUGGGAAGUGGCUGAUAGGGAAAAAAUAAGAAACCCAGGAGCUGCCCCGAUGGGCAUAGAUUUAACAUGAGAAACAUAUACAUUUCCUAUCAUCUGUUUGCACAGACUAUUUCAUUUAAGUGAUGUGCAUUUCACAGCGGCACAGUGAUGACUGGUCCCAGCAACCUGGGUCAUCCCUCUGUCCCUGUGAGAUCCCUGGAGACAGAUUGAUCUCAAACCUGAGCUCUGCUGCCACCUUCCCUUUCACUGAUAAGUGAAAGAGCCUGGGAGUCUUUUUGUAACUUUGGAUCUGAAUACCAUAUGCAGGGCUCCCUGUGCAGCUGGAGACGAGAUGGCAAAUGUCCCCCCACCUGGCCAGUUAAGUCCUUGCCCCAUGUCAGAACCGUUUUCUGUGACAGGCUCACAACCCCAUCAGCUUCUAGAACACAGGCAGACCCUGAGGGCUGACAAACAUUUAAACAGGUAUACCCCUUCCUGUUCCUCUCUAGGUUAUAAAAAUAGAAGGAAGGGGGUGGGGGAAACAGUCCCUUGUCUGAAGGAAGCCAGGAGUCUGGCACCUUCCCUGGGUCUGUGCUCAGGGCUGUCUUCCCGCCUGGAGAGCUUCAUAUCUUCCUUUUCCUCUUCAGUUUUGCUUGCAAUGGUUGUGGAUGUGAGAAUUUAGUUACUGGGUUUUUUUUUUACCUUAUGUUUUGAUCUCAUGAGGUUUAAAGUUACUUUCACUUUCGCAAACCAUAGGCAUGGGCCUUCUGGUGACGGAGGCCUUGGGAGAAGGUGUCUCCACUGGUGAGUGACAGCUCUAGCCCUUGGCCUCCAGUAACUUCCUGUCACCAUGGUGUGGUGGGGAGGCAGUGUUGCCCCCAGUGUUACAGAGGAGGAGACUGAGGCAGGAAAGAGAGACUGGGUCAUCUGACCAUCUACGUUUAAAAGACACUAAAAUACCUGCAAACAUAAUAGGAUGGAGAAAAUACUGUUUUCCCAAAACUGCCUUCAGGGAAAGCCAUGCAGGUGGAUGAGAAGGUUGCUUUGAAAAAAGAAUGAAAUAAUGCCGUUUGCAGCAACAUGGAUGGACCUAGCAUAUGAAGUGAAGUCAGACAGAGAAAGACAAACACCAUGUGAUAUAUCAUUUAUAUGUGGAAUCUUUUUAAAAAAAUGAUAUAAAGGAACUUAUUUAAAAAACAGAAACAGACUCACAGACAUAGAAAAACAAAUUAGAAUAGGGAUAAAUUAGGAGUUUGGGCAUAACAUCUAUAUAGAAUAGAUUAAAAACAAGGACCGAUUCUAUAGCACAGAGAACUAUACUCAAUAUUUUGCAAUAACCUAUAUGGGUAAAGAAUCUGAAAAAGAACAUGUAUAUAUAAUAAAAAAAUCAAUUUUUUAAAAUAAAAAUACAUUAAAAAAUUAAAACAUGACUUUCUAAUGUCAGUUUAUAAGUUUUAAGAACACUUACACUACACAAAAAAAAAAAGCUAAAUAGAGCUACAACAAUCAAGUCAUUUGUUAAAUCCGCCCCCAAAAGAAGAAGGUUGCUUUGAUCAGCUACUUAGGGAAGGAAAGGGGUGGGGAAGGAGGGCUACCUAAGAGUUUGCAGUAGGUGGGGCUCAAGCUACCUUCAAAGAGAGAUGAGAAAUUUGAGCCUAGAGCUUUCUUUCUUUUUUUAUUGAAGUACUGUUAAUUUACAAUGUUGUGUUUCCUGCUGUACAGCAGAAAUACAUAUAAUUUUUUAAUUUUCUUUUCCAUUAUGGCUUAUCAUAGGAUAUUGAAUAUAGUUCCCUGGGUUAUAGAGUCGAAACUUGUUGUUUAUCAAUCCUAUAUAUAAUAGUGUGCCUCUGCUAACCCCAAACUCCGAAUCCACCCCGCUCCAUCACCCUCCCCCAUGGCAAACGCAAGUCUGUCCUCUAUGUCCAUGUUUCUAUUUCAUAGAUAAGUUCAUUUGGGUCAUAUUUUGUAUUCCAUGUUUAAGUGGUAUCGUAAGUCAUUUGUCUUUCUCUGACUUGCUUUGCUCAGUAUGAUAAUCUCUAGAACCAUUCAUGGUGCUCCAAAUGGCAUUAUCUUGUUAUGAGUAAUAGUCCAUUGUAUAUAUGUACCACAUCUUCUUUAUCCAUUCAUCUGUUGAUAGACAUUUAGGUUGUUUUCAUGUCUUAGAUAUUGUGAAUAGCGCUGCUGUGAACAUGGGGGGGUGCAUGUAUCUUUUUGAAUUAUAGUUUUGUCCAGAUGGAUGCCCAGGAGUGAUAUUCCUGGUUCAUACGGUAGUUCUAUAUUUAGUUUUCCAAGGACCUCUAUACUUUUCUCCAUAGUGGUUGCGCUAACUUACAUUCCCACCAGCAGUGUAGGAGGGUUCCCUUUUCUCCACACCCCCUCCAGCAUUUGUUAUCUUUACACCUUUUAAUGAUGGCCAUUCUGAUCUAGGUUUGAUUUGCACUUCUUUAAUAAUUAGUGAAUGAGCCCAGGUUUCUGAGCUGGGUUGUGAGUUUGGAAUCAACACAGAAUUGUUCUGGACCACCUAGCAAGAAUCCUGUCCUGUCCUCCUCCCAUACUGCUGCCUGGCCUCUAUUCCAAAGAGUAUCAUUUAUCAACAAGGAGAGGAAGAAUUUUCAUUUCAUCUUUCUUCCCAUGGACAGAAUUCUCUUUUUUGAAGAAUCUCUCCUUUUCGGAUAGUGAUAAAAAAAAGUUUGGAAGCUGGAAAGCAGAAGGACUUGUAUUGACUAACUUAAUACAUCCAAGAAAACUAAAUUCUUAAGUAUGAGCCCCAUAUUUGGUGAGCCAAGGACCACUAGACACCUGAAGGACCUUGUGAUAUUAAAGUCAAUCCAGGAGUUCGUGGCGCAGUGGUUAACGAAUCCGACUAGGAACCACGAGGUUGCGGGUUCGGUCCCUGCCCUUGCUCAGUGGGUUAACGAUCCGGCGUUGCCGUGAGCUGUGGUGAAGGUUGCAGACGCGGCUCGGAUCCCGCAUUGCUGUGGCUCUGGCGUAGGCCGGUGGCUACAGCUCCGAUUCAACCCCUAGCCUGGGAACCUCCAUAUGCCACGGGAGCGGCCCAAGAAAUAGCAAAAAGACAAAAAAAUAAAAUAAAAAUAAAAAAA
rnacentral:lncRNA from 1 species